UACGUAGGGCGCAAGCGUUGUCCGGAUUUAUUGGGCGUAAAGAGCGUGUAGGCGGUUAGGUAGGUCCGUUGUGAAAACUCGAGGCUCAACCUCGAGACGCCGAUGGAAACCCCCUAACUAGAGUCCGGAAGAGGAGAGUGGAAUUCCUGGUGUAGCGAUGAAAUGCGUAGAUAUCGGGAGGAACACCUGUGGCGAAAGCGGCGCACUGGACCACAACUGACGCUGAGGCGCGAAAGCGAGGGGAGCAAACAGG
rnacentral:rRNA from 1 species